AGCGAACGCUGGCGGCAGGCUUAACACAUGCAAGUCGAGCGGGCGUAGCAAUACGUCAGCGGCAGACGGGUGAGUAACGCCUGGGAACGUACCUUUUGGUUCGGAACAACACAUUGAAACUUGUGCUAAUACCGGAUAAGCCCUUACGAGGAAAGAUUUAUCGCCGAAAGAUCGGCCCGCGUUUGAUUCGCUAGUUGGUGAGGUAACGGCUCACCAAGGCGACGAUCAGUAGCUGGACUGGGAGGAUGAUCAGCAACAUUGGGACUGGGACAAGGACCAAACACCUGCGGAAGGCAGCAGUGGGGAAUAUUGGACAAUGGGGGCAACCCUGAUCCAGCCAUGCCGCGAGAGUGAUGAAUGCCCUAGGAUAGUAAAGCUCUUUUGUGCGGGAAGAUAAGGACGUAACCGAAAGAAUAAGCCCCGGCUAACUUCUU
rnacentral:rRNA from 1 species